rnacentral:lncRNA from 1 species
UCAUUAUCAAAUAAUAUUUAGGGCAUGAACUUCUAAAUUUGCCCUUUGACCGUUAGAAUAAAUGGUCAAAUUAACGGAUUUGGGUGUGGAUUGAACAUUGUUGAAACAUUUGAGUGCGCGAUGGAAUAUGUUGAAACAAUUGGGGGCAAGACGGAAUUAACCCUUCUAACUAUAUACAACUAGGGGUGGGCACGGUUCAGUUCAGUUCGGUUCGGUUUGAAAUUAAGUAGAACCGAUUAAAAUCGGUUAUUUUAUAAAAAGAACCGAAUAAGAACCGAACUCAAUAAGAACCGAACUCAAACGGUUCUUUUCGGAUCGGUUCGGUU